UAGGGAAUCUUCCGCAAUGGACGCAAGUCUGACGGAGCAACGCCGCGUGAGUGACGAAGGAUUUCGGUUCGUAAAACUCUGUUGUUAGAGAAGAACAGCGCAUAGAGUAACUGUUAUGCGUGUGACGGUAUCUAACCAGAAAGCCACGGCUAACUACGUGCCAGCAGCCGCGGUAAUACGUAGGUGGCAAGCGUUGUCCGGAUUUAUUGGGCGUAAAGCGAGCGCAGGCGGUCAAUUAAGUCUGAUGUGAAAGCCCCCGGCUCAACCGGGGAGGGUCAUUGGCAACUGGUUGACUUGAGUGCAGAAGAGGAGAGUGGAAUUCCAUGUGUAGCGGUGAAAUGCGUAGAUAUAUGGAGGAACACCAGUGGCGAAGGCGACUCUCUGGUCUGUAACUGACGCUGAGGCUCGAAAGCGUGGGUAGCAAACAGG
rnacentral:rRNA from 1 species